rnacentral:misc_RNA from 1 species
CCGAGUUUACAACUCCCAAACCCAAUGUGAACGUUACCAAACUGUUGCCUCGGCGGGGUCACGCCCCGGGUGCGUAAAAGCCCCGGAACCAGGCGCCCGCCGGAGGAACCAACCAAACUCUUUCUGUAGUCCCCUCGCGGACGUAUUUCUUACAGCUCUGAGCAAAAAUUCAAAAUGGAUCA